rnacentral:rRNA from 1 species
AUUGAACGCUGGCGGCAGGCCUAACACAUGCAAGUCGAGCGAGCGGCGGACGGGUGAGUAAUGUAUGGGGACUGCCCGAUAGAGGGGGAUAACUCAUGGAAACGGUGGCUAAUACCGCAUAUUGUCGGAGAACCCAUAUGGGAUUUGAUAGUGGGUAGGGUAAUGGCUUACCUAGGCGACGAUCCCUAGCUGGUCUGAGAGGAUGAUCAGCCACACGGGAACUGAGACACGGCCCAGACUCCGACGGAGGCAGCAGUGGGGAAUAUUGCACAAUGGGCGCAAGCCUGAUGCAGCCAUGCCGCGUGUAUGAAGAAGGCCCUAGGGUUGUAAAGUACUUUCAGUGGGGAGGCGUUACCGACAGAAGAAGCACCGGCUAACUCCGUGCCAGCAGCCGCGGUAAUAC